GACCGGAGCGCAUGCGGAGGGGAGCGCAGCGGCAGGUUUUCGGGGGCGUCAGGAACAGAAGGACCUGGUGAUGCUCUCGUUACCUGGAGGGAAGAAAAGGCUAUUUGUGACAUUCUACCCAGCAACAACUCUGGUGUCUAUUCACAGUUAUUACAACUAACAGCCAGCAUCAGCAUCCUUACCCUCCUCACGGUGUCUGCUUG